GGAGGAAGGUGGGGAUGACGUCAAGUCCUCAUGGCCCUUAUGGGUAGGGCUUCACACGUCAUACAAUGGUCGGUACAGAGGGUUGCAACCCGCGAGGGGGAGCUAAUCCCACAAAGCCGAUCGUAGUCCGGAUCGCAGUCUGCAACUCGACUGCGUGAAGUCGGAAUCGCUAGUAAUCGUGGAUCAGCAUGUCACGGUGAAUACGUUCCCGGGUCUU
rnacentral:rRNA from 1 species